rnacentral:sRNA from 1 species
AUGAGGUUUUGGGAAUAAGAU